UAGUUGCAGACAAUGGAUUUUUUUUGGGUUUUAAGAUUGGUAUCACCACUGCUUCUUUCCAUUCAUCUGGGCGUCAGAUUCUUCAGCAUCUCGUUUGCUAUCUGGUCAGGUCCAGGUGCUGUGUUCCUGGCCUUUUGUAAAGCAAACUCCAUCUCCAGCAUUGUAAAAGAAAAGGUGGGGGGAUAGUUUCCGGAGCUACUAACUACUGCAAACUGAUUGGCCAAAGCGUUCGCGAUUUCUUCUGGUUUUUCCAAGACUAGGUCUUGUGUUUGUAAUGAAUGUAUACCUUGACUUUUAUAUUUGCCACAUAUGGAUCUUAUUUUUUUCCAGGUAUCGCCCAC